rnacentral:misc_RNA from 1 species
AUGAAUCCUGAACAAUUAGGACAUUAGAAGCCAAAUUUGAUUAAUUCUUAUAUGGUGCCAUCAGGGAAACCAACUAGCCAAGUGAACUUAGCAAAAAUGCAGAACCUUUAGUGUAAUAUAAUUUCAUCAAACACUUCGAAUUCAAAGACAUCAUUUGACCAUUCCUUGCCCAAUUCCGUCCAGUACCCAUAUAAUCAAUCAUCCCUCACUCUUUACUAGAAAUCGCCCUUUGUUGGAGUGGAUGAAAUUUUAGUAGGUGAAUAUCUAUGU